UGAAUUCAAUAAUGACAUACUUAUUUAUGCUGUGAAUUGGCGCAGCGUCUCUACAAGACACCUUAAUGUCUAACAAUAAGUAAGCUUUUAGGCUUG
rnacentral:ncRNA from 18 species